rnacentral:rRNA from 1 species
UACGGAGGAUCCGAGCGUUAUCCAGAUUUAUUGGGUUUAAAGGGUGCGCAGGCGGGAGAUUAAGUCGGCGGUGAAAUUUUGCAGCUCAACUGUAAAAGUGCCUUCGAAACUGGUUUCCUUGAGUGUGGAUGAAGUAGGCGGAAUUUGUGGUGUAGCGGUGAAAUGCAUAGAUAUCACGAGGAACUCCGAUUGCGCAGGCAGCUUACUAAACCAUAACUGACGCUCAGGCACGAAGGCGUGGGGAUCAAACAGGAUUAGAUACCCU